rnacentral:rRNA from 1 species
UACGUAGGGGCCGAGCGUUGUCCGGAGUUACUGGGCGUAAAGCGCGCGCAGGCGGCUACUUAAGCCCGGCGUGAAAGCCCCCGGCUCAACCGGGGAGGGUCGUCGGGGACUGGGUGGCUUGAGGACGGCAGGGGCUGGUGGAAUCCCCGGUGUAGUGGUGAAAUGCGUAGAGAUCGGGGGGAACACCCGUGGCGAAGGCGGCCAGCUGGGCCGGUCCUGACGCUGAGGCGCGAAGGCGUGGGGAGCGAACGGG